rnacentral:rRNA from 1 species
GAUGAACGCUGGCGGCGUGCCUAAUACAUGCAAGUCGAGCGAACAGACGAGGAGCUUGCUCCUCUGACGUUAGCGGCGGACGGGUGAGUAACACGUGGAUAACCUACCUAUAAGACUGGGAUAACUUCGGGAAACCGGAGCUAAUACCGGAUAAUAUAUUGAACCGCAUGGUUCAAUAGUGAAAGACGGUUUUGCUGUCACUUAUAGAUGGAUCCGCGCCGCAUUAGCUAGUUGGUAAGGUAACGGCUUACCAAGGCGACGAUGCGUAGACGACCUGAGAGAGUGAUCGGCCACACGGGAACGUAGACACGGUCCAGACUCCUACGGGAGGCAGCAGUAGGGAAUCUUCCGCAGUGGGCGAAAGCCUGACGGAGCAACGCCGCGUGAGUGAUGAAGGUCUUCGGAUCGUAAUGCUCUGUUAUUAGGGAAGAACAAAUGUGUAAGUAACUAUGCACGUCUUGACGGUACCUAAUCAGAAAGCCACGGCUAACUACGUG